rnacentral:rRNA from 1 species
GAUGAACGCUGGCGGCGUGCCUAAUACAUGCAAGUCGAGCGAACAGACGAGGAGCUUGCUCCUUUGACGUUAGCGGCGGACGGGUGAGUAACACGUGGAUAACCUACUUAUAAGACUGGGAUAACUUCGGGAAACCGGAGCUAAUACCGGAUAAUAUAUUGAACCGUAUGGUUCAAUAGUGAAAGACGGUUUUGCUGUCUCUUAUAGAGGGAUCCGCGCCGCAUUAGCUGGUUGGUAAGUUAACGGCUUACCAAGGCAACGAUGCGUAGCCGACCUGAGAGGGGGGUCGCCCACACUAGAGCGGAGACACGGUCCAGACUCCUGCGGGAGGCAGCAGUAGGGAAUGUUCCGCAGUGGGCGAAAGCCUGACGGAGCAACGCCGCGUGAGUGAUGAAGGUCUUCGGAUCGUAAAACUCUGUUAUUAGGGAAGAACAAAUGUGUAAGUAACUAUGCACGUCUUGACGGUACCUAAUCAGAAAGCCACGGCUAACUACGUG